rnacentral:lncRNA from 1 species
AACCUACAAGAACAGGUAUUUUCAUUUAUAAUUAUUAAUAGCUAAAUUCAUAAAUUCCUGAGAAUCAUGGUAUAGUAAAAUAAGUUCAUGUUAGUUACUAUAUAGUAGAAUUAUUCGAAGUAUAAUAUGUUUGAAGUUUAUUAGCAAAGAGAAAAAGGAGAAAAAUUUUCAGAACUAUGCCAUCCUAAAGGUGAAACCAGUAAGGCAGAUAAGCUGUGAUAGAGUAGUAACCAGAGUUGAGGCGCUGUUUAGGGAAGAAGUAUCCAAAAAUACCAUGCUAAUAGUGACAGAGGAACAUAAUUAUCUAAGGAUAAUCUAGUACAUAGUGAUCUAAGAUGACCAUAUUUUGUUAUGCAUAUGAUUGAAAAAAAUAUUUUGAAAUAAGCAUCAUAUGAAAUAAAAUGACUAGCUACUUAUCUGAUGAAAUGAUAGAUAGGGUCAAAAUACUUAUUUUGUAUAUACUUAAGGAUAUAAAAAUAAUAGAUAUAAGAAAACUCAUAUGAGAAAAAAUAUUUGAUUUUGAAGAUAAAUUACUAAAUACUGAAUGGAUAGAACAAGAGUUAGAAAAUAUAGAUUUUAAUGGUAGAUAUUAUUAUUCAGAUUGGUAUUAUUCAAACUAAAAUGAUAAAUUACGAAUACUUAAAAUAUUGAAGGAAAGAUAUAACUUCCUUGUUUCAAAGAUUUCACUUAGCUAGAUAACAAAAAUAACUUUCGUCAUUCCAAAAAUUUAACUUAGCUAGGCAGCACAAAUAACAUUAUUGUUCCAAAGAUUUCACUUUGCUAGGCAGCAAAAAUAACUUUCGUCGUUCUAAAGAUUUAACUUAUUAAGGCAGCAAAUGUAACUUCGUUAUUCCAAGAAAUUCGCUUAACUAGGCAGCAAAAAUAAGGUUUCAACAGGAAGAUUGUUUUGCGCUUGAAACUGUUAAUACAGAUGGAAGGGAUUCAAUUUUUCUUUACCAUUUCUUGGAGAAUUGAUCAACGUACUAUUUGAGAGCGUGCAAGUCAAAGUCUCAAUAAGCUAAAUACCUAUUUUACCCACUAAAAAAUUUAGACGAAGGGGGCAAUAUUCAUUUUUUCAAAAUUCUAAGUUUCAUUUUUAAAGCAUAAUAAUUGGAGGUGCAAAUGAUUUUGACCAUGUAGGGGAAAGCAAGCAUAGGCCACCUCAGCAAAACCUGUAAAGGCUAAAGAACAAGUUGCAGACCCUUGUUAAAAUCCAACGAAUAUAAACUUUAAAGAGAAAUUUUUAUACCCAUUUGUUCACACUUUCUUUUUUGGCCCCUUAAUCAGUGGCUCAAGGCCCUUCUUUUGUUAUCACCUAAGAAAGCGGUGCAGUGACUGCGAUUAGUCCACUCUUAGUUAGAGUCUCGAGUUUGAGUCCUGAGUAUACUAAAUUCUUGAUAGGGAGAAUUUCACCAAAUAGGCCCUACGUAUCAUGAAUUCAAAUUAGUUGGGCUUUAACAAGGGUACCAAACACCGUAUGGAAAACCCAAAAAUAAAAUGGCCCUUUUCUUGUCAACACUCAAUUUAUUAAUAUUGAGACAAAGUUAAGAGAAUAAAAAAGAAAAGAAAAGAAAUGUGCGUAGAGAAUCCUUCAAGGGCAAAGCUUUGAAGGAUUCUUUCUUGAUAAUGGCCCAGAAUAAGAGGCUUUUUUCACUGUUACUUUCUUUCAUCUUCAGAAUUUUUGGCAUCCUUGCCUUUGAAUGCAUAGAGAUAAGGAAUGAUUAUAUAUAUUUUGUGGGGUUGAGAGUGAAAGAAUGGCCUUACAAUUCCUUAUCUCUUGGCUUUGAUUAGCUUUGUGAGAUAAUGCACUUUUACUUUCUAUUGCAGCCAAUACAGAUUUGGUGUUCCCACUCUUUUCUGAGAUAAACUGAUUAAGAAAAUUUUUAUGUGCAACCUUAACUGCUACUUAUAACUUACCUUAUCUUUAACUAAUUAAUCAUCAACCAUACAACUUUUGAUCAACCCUUAACUAAAAAAGGGAUAUCUGUGUACUAGAGCUCCCACUAUGCGUGGAACUGGGGAAUCAAUUGGACCACAAGUAUUUAGAGUAUGCAACCUUACCGUGUUACAGUGCAUUUAUGCUAAAUUUUGUUUUCAUGGCAUGAAAUCCGUGACCUUCUACUCACAUGGAAACAACUUUACUUGUUAUCCAAGACUAUCCUUCUUGAUCAACCUUUAACUAUUGGCAUACAUGGAUUCACUAUGUCAUGACAAAGACAUGUUACUUGCAACUAAUUAAUGUUACUCUGAUUUUUCGUAAUGAAGGACCUAUAUUAUUCAUACCGUCAAUGCAUAGAAACUGUACACAUUUAUGAAUGUACAUUUCUCAAUUGACACGAUGAGAACAAACCUCAUGCAUCUAGCAAACAACUACUUUUUUUUUAUCAAGCUUUAACUAUUUUCCUGGAUGUUGAGCAAUGAGUAUAAAGCAAAAAAGAAAAGGACGGAAAGUUAGUUAUUAGUUUCUAGAGAGUUAAUACAUAAAAAUGACCCUAAACUUGAUACCAAAUUAUAACUUUGACCUUAAAUUUUGACAGUGGACAAAUAUGACCUUUAACUAUUCAAACCUGCACAAAUAUAACCUCCAAUCCUACGUGGCAAAACACGUGUUCAACACGCAAAAUCGAGCGCGUUUAGCUUAAAAUCUAAGGGCAUAAUACAUAAAUAUGACCUUAAACUUUGACAGUGCACAAAUAUGACCUUUAACUAUUCAAAACUACACAAAUAUGACCUUUAAAUGACUUUUCACUAUUAUUUUUUUUAUUAUUUUUGGUUCAAACAUGAAAAUGACAUCUAAUUUCUUUUGUCAUUGAGAAAAAAGAGCAAUAUUGAAGAUUUAUUAAUUAGGUGAGUAAGCCUCAUACGAAAAAAUCAUGCGGGUAUGUAUAUAUAUAUUAUAAAGCAGAGGGCGAAUUUAAGUUAUAUAAUAUAUCUAAAUAUAAUUUACGUAGGGGAGGACCUACGUGGUUGCCAUGAGUUUCACCCGAACCCCUUCGGUAAAAAAAUUACGUUAUAUAUAUAUAAGGUAGAAAAUCUAUAUUUAUGUAUGUAUAUUAAUGUUGAACCACAUGAAACAAGGCACUUAGAUAGCCCAGUGGUGUUAUUUGCUCUUCUUGGGCGCUUCCUUAAGCCUACUGCGCGGUUCAAUUUUAAUUAAAAAAAGUUAGGUGUUGCAGCUAUAGAAAUAAUAAUAUUAAUAAUACUAAUACUGAUACUAAUACUAAUACUAAUACUAAUACUAAUUCUAAUAAUAAUAAUAAUAAUAAUAAAAACGACUCCUUUUUAACACGAAAAAUAAAACUUUGACAGUGCACAAAUAUGACCUUUAACUAUUCAAAACUGCAUAAAUAUGACCUUCCUCUAUGUCAACCCUUUUAAUGAUGUGGCACCGUGUGAUUGGAUUACCUUUCCACGUAGGCGCGAGUGAAACUCAUGCAUGGGGUCGCAAAAUCGGAGGUCAUAUUUGUUCAGGUUUUGAAUAGUUAAAGGUCCUAUUUGUGUACUAUCAAAUUUUAAGGUCAAAGUUAUAAUUUGGUGUCAAGUUUAGGGUCAUUUUUAUGUAUUAAAUCGCUUCUAGAAGUUAGUUACAUCAUCACAUUCAAGAAGUUAGUUACAUUGUUAUAGGUAGUUAAUAAGCUAGGCUCCUUAGAUAUACUCAUCAUCUAAUCACUUUAUACAUACAUACAUAUAUACACACGUACAUACAGACAUAUAUAUCGACUAUGUACUAUAGAAUCAAGAUCAAUAAAAAAUGAAUACAAUUCUAACAUAUAAUGGUUCUUCUUUCUUCUUCCUCUUCCACUUCUCUAUUUCUCUAAUUUUUACUCUUAUUUCUUAUUCUUCUCUUAUUCAAACUUCAUUACUCUGUUAAUCUUCAAGGUAUCAGAGCUUAUACUGAGUUGAAUCAGUACUUGAACUCGAUCCUAAUUCUCAGUUGAAAACAACAUUGGUUCUUGAAUUCAAAAACUACAGAAUCUGAUAGUUUUUUCUACAAAUCCUCUAUAAUCAGUUGAAAUGACAACUGGUGUUGAUGGAAUUGGUACUUCAAUUGUACCUCUAGUGAAUAAUGCAAAUACCAGUUCUUUUUUUUUUUUAGUUUACAGCUACUAAUUUUGAUAUUAAUCAUCUUCUGUAUCUCUCAAUUGCUGAUUUGUCAGGUACUUUACUUAUUUUAUUUCAAUUACAAGGAAGUGAAAACUAUGUUGUGUGGAGUAAAGCAGUUACGAUUGCAUUUCUAGGUAGAAAUAAUUUUUGAAUGGUUGAUUAUUUUUGAACAAAAGAAAGCUUCCCUAAUAUUUAAGCUAAUCCGUGGAAGAUAGUUAAUGCAAUAGUAUUGUCAUGGCUAGUGAAUUCAGUAUAAAAUAACCUUCUUGGAGGGGUAGUACAUGCCACAGGGGCUUGUGAUAUGUGGAUGAAUCUUCAAUAAAGAUUAGAUAAAAUAGAUAGAUAAAGAACUUACGAUUUGUAUCAAGAAAUUGCAACUGUGUCUCAAGGUAUUCAAUCUGUUUUUGUCUAUUUCAGUAAGUUGAGCGACUUAUGGGAUGAGUUUGAGUCUUUAGUCCCAUCACCUGCUUGCAACUAUGAAAAAUUGUAAUGUCCCGAGACUACACCUUUAACGUCACACGGUGUUUAAAAUCACAAGUGAUCCUAAGCUAAUCCAUAAUACUGGCAUAACUCAUGAGCAACUGAACAAAAUACAUAAAAUUGGAAGUAAUAAGCGAAAAAGAUGUCUUUAGCUGAACAUGUUUUAUACAAAACUAUUUAAAACAUUUACAACUCUAGUUAUAAAAAAUAAAUCUAAAAUUAAAUACAUCAACGCUAACUGACUGUCUAUGAAGCCUCUACUACUGCUGAAUAUAGAUAGUCGAGAUAUCACUCCAACUAUCCCUAAUCAAUAUGAUAGAAAAAAAAUUAUAUUAGAACUAUAGUUGACUCGAGUCUUCAAAUCAAAAGAACUCAUCACCUGUUGGCUGGAAGUUGUGAACUGUUUGAUUAUGAUCUGUGCACUACAACUGAAAACUAUAUUAAGAAAUAAUGUAGCUACACAGUCGUAUAUAUGGUUAGUACUUCUGGAUUGUACUGAGUAUGUGGGGGUGAAUGCAAUAAGUAAAACUGAAGGUGAACAUGCUUUCACAUUAUGCAUGCUAAGUGUAAAAGGACCUCACCUUGAUCAUGAAUAAAACUGAAAGAUGAAAUAUCAUAAAACAUGAAUAAUAAAGCAUAAUUUGAUAAGCUUAGUGAGUCAUUAAACUUAGUUUCUAAACUCUUUACUUUUAGGGGAGAUUCUUUUAACUGACAUAAACUAUGUAAGCUAUCAUAGAGUCCAAUGUCUUACCUACAUUGAGGAUAGUUGUUCUACCCUUUCCAUCGGAAUAGAACCUUAACUUAGAGUGAUCACUAAACUUAGCCCACAUUAAAAAAAGGGGACACUCUCUGACGAGGCCCCUAAACCUGCAAUGGCACGUAGUUUUUGAAAAAUAGAAUGCUCUUAACCCAUUUUCCCCUCUCGGUGCUAAAUGCUACUCCUAAAAUAUAUACUUAUAUGAUCAUACUUAGUGAAAUCCACCUUAAAUAGAAUAUGGGUAUAUAAACUUAAAAUCCUCUAUGCUUCUCUUACUUAAAUCAUAGUCAUAAGGAAACUUGUGGAUUUCAUAUCUUAUCUGAGUUCAUAAGAUCAAAACGGAACUUUAAUCAUGCUGUAAAACUUGUAUCUUAAACUUAUAAGCUUGAACUUCUUGUAAACUUAGUAACUUAUACUUAAACUUGAAAUAAUACAUUAUUUCAUAGAAAUUUCAUAUCAAAAUAUCAAACUCAAUGCUUAAGAUUAUUUUUAGGGAUAAAACAUAAGUAAACAUAAAAUCAUAUGCAAAACAAUAUUCAAUUCACGAGGAGGUAUAAAAAUAUCAAAGCAUAAGAAAAGUGGGUAUAAAAUCUAGUAAGUCAAUUUCUGUAAAAUCAAUUAAAAAUUAAACUUUUGGGCACAAGGGCAGAAGAGUAUCCUUGUUCAAACCUCACAUAAUUGAAUUUCUUGAUUUUUUGAAGGAAAACUUGAAUUUGGAUUCUUAGAUGUUUAACUUUAGGAAGAAACUCUUAACUUUUUUUUCUUGAGAGUGGAAAGGAGAAUGAGCAUUGAAAACUAACUAAAAAUGGGAAAGCAAUGCUUUCUGGCUAAUUUAAGUUGUGGAAGAGGAGUUUGAUGUGAGAAAAGACCAAGUUACUCUUAAGGAAACAUAAAAAAGUUGCAAGGUUGACGACUCGUCAGUUUGGUGAUGUCUCCUCACCCUAGUCGUCACUAUCAAGCUGGAUUUUGACUGAUUAAGGUUAAAGACUUAAGUUGAUGGCUUAACACCUAGUUGACGACGUGUCAACUUAGUCGUCACCUAGUUUGGCAGCUCAUCAACUUAGUCAUCACUUUCUGAUAGACAAAUAUUCCAAAGUAUAAUGAGCAUAACAUUCUACUCUGAUAUCGGAUUAAGAUGAAAUUAGAUGCAUUAUAAAGAAUUCUCGAAGAUCUUUCAUUUGAUAUUAAUUAGUCCACCUAACUCGUUAUAUUCUAGGAGUUACACUCGUUUAAAGUUGACUCUUGUAGAAUCCAAUAGUAAAACUAAAUCAAUACAAAUGUUCUCAACUCUGCUUUGCUCAAAGUGCUUCCUAUGACCAUAGUUGCAUUGAAAACAAUUCACACUCAAGAUGAAUGAUCAUGAAACUUACUUAUGGUUUGACAUAAACACUUUAGGGACUUUAAACAUAUGAUGUAUAUGUUAGACUCCAAGGUUUAUAUUUAAAUAAUGACAAACUAACAAGUGAAUUCUUGCAGGAUAUUAAAAGACCACUGAUGAAGGAAGCCAACUCUAGAAAAGAAAGGACAUCCAAUUGCCAAAAGAUUACGACAUUCUAACAAACAUGACAGAUAAAUGAAACAUGCUGAAAAAGGAAGGAGAAUCACCAUCUCCCAAUCACAACAGAAUGAGAGAUCAAGAUCAAUGAAAAUCUAAAUAAAAUAAGAAAGGAC